rnacentral:rRNA from 1 species
AACGAACGCUGGCGGCAUGCCUAACACAUGCAAGUCGAACGAGACCUUCGGGUCUAGUGGCGCACGGGUGCGUAACGCGUGGGAACCUGCCCUUAGGUUCGGAAUAACUCCCCGAAAGGGGUGCUAAUACCGGAUAAUGUCUUCGGACCAAAGAUUUAUCGCCUUUGGAUGGGCCCGCGUUGGAUUAGCUAGUUGGUAGGGUAAAAGCCUACCAAGGCGACGAUCCAUAGCUGGUCUGAGAGGAUGAUCAGCCACACGGGGACUGAGACACGGCCCAGACUCUUACGCGAGGCACCAGUGGGGAAUAUUGCACAAUGGGCGAAAGCCUGAUCCAGCACUGCCGCGUGAGCUAUGAAGGCCUUAGGGUUGUAAAGCUCUUUUACCCGUGAUGAUAAUGACAGUACCGGGAGAAUAAGCCCCGGCUAACUACGUG